GCUAAAAAGGCAGAAAGAAAAAGAGAAGUUACAGGAUUCAUCAUCAUUCUCAUCCUCAUCAUAUCAAUAUAUGUUAUGAUGGAUUUUUUUCUGUAUUUUUGUUGUACUUUUUAU
rnacentral:ribozyme from 1 species